rnacentral:rRNA from 1 species
AUUGAACGCUGGCGGCAGGCCUAACACAUGCAAGUAGAACGAGUGGCGGGCGGGUGAGUAAUGUCUGUGACACUGCCCGAUGGAGGGGGAUAACUACUGGAAACGGUAGCUAAUACCGCAUACCAUCGAAUGUGCCCCGAUGGGAUUAGCUAGUAGGUGGGGUAACGGCUCACAUAGGCGCCGAUCCCUCGCUGGUCUGAGAGGAUGACCAGCCACACUGGAACUGAGACACGGUCUAGACUCCUACGGGAGGCAGCAGUGGGGAAUAUGGCACAAGGGGCGCAAGCCUGAUGCAGCCAUGCCGAGUGUAUGAAGAAGGCCUUCGGGUUGUAAAGUACUUUCAGCGAGGAGGCGUGACUCGCAGAAGAAGCACCGGCUAACUCCGAGCCAGCAGCCGCGGUAAUAC